CCUUAGAGUUUGAUCCUGGCUCAGGACGAACGCUGGCGGCGUGCUUAACACAUGCAAGUCGAACGGGGUGUUUAUUUCGGUAAACAUCAAGUGGCGAACGGGUGAGUAACGCGUAAGCAAUCUACCUUCAAGAUGGGGACAACACUUCGAAAGGGGUGCUAAUACCGAAUGAAUGUAAGAGUAUCGCAUGAGACACUUACUAAAGGAGGCCUCUGACAUAAGCUUCCGCUUGAAGAUGAGCUUGCGUCUGAUUAGCUAGUUGGUGAGGGUAAAGGCCCACCAAGGCGACGAUCAGUAGCCGGUCUGAGAGGAUGAACGGCCACAUUGGGACUGAGACACGGCCCAGACUCCUACGGGAGGCAGCAGUGGGGAAUCUUCCGCAAUGGGCGAAAGCCUGACAGAGCAACGCCGCGUGAACGAUGAAGGUCUUAGGAUCGUAAAGUUCUGUUGUUAGGGACGAAGGAUAAGGAUUAUAAUACAGUAUUUGUUUGACGGUACCUAACGAGGAAGCCACGGCUAACUACGUGCCAGCAGCCGCGGUAAUACGUAGGCGGCAAGCGUUGUCCGGAAUUAUUGGGCGUAAAGGGAGCGCAGGCGGGAAACUAAGCGGAUCUUAAAAGUGCGGGGCUCAACCCCGUGAUGGGGUCCGAACUGGUUUUCUUGAGUGCAGGAGAGGAAAGCGGAAUUCCCAGUGUAGCGGUGAAAUGCGUAGAUAUUGGGAAGAACACCAGUGGCGAAGGCGGCUUUCUGGACUGUAACUGACGCUGAGGCUCGAAAGCUAGGGUAGCGAACGGGAUUAGAUACCCCGGUAGUCCUAGCCGUAAACGAUGGAUACUAGGUGUGGGAGGUAUCGACUCCUUCCGUGCCGG
rnacentral:rRNA from 1 species